rnacentral:rRNA from 1 species
CAGUAGCCGCGGGAAUACGAAGAGGGCUAGCGUUGCUCGGAAUCACUGGGCGUAAAGGGUGCGUAGGCGGGUCUUUAAGUCAGGGGUGAAAUCCUGGAGCUCAACUCCAGAACUGCCUUUGAUACUGAAGAUCUUGAGUUCGGGAGAGGUGAGUGGAACUGCGAGUGUAGAGGUGAAAUUCGUAGAUAUUCGCAAGAACACCAGUGGCGAAGGCGGCUCACUGGCCCGACACUGACGCUGAGGCACGAGAGCGUGGGGAGCAAACAGGAUUAGAUACUCCUGUAGUCCCUGUCUCUUAUAC